GACGAACGCUGGCGGCGUGCCUGACACAUGCAAGUCGGACGGUUCUUGCACCUUCAAGCUUGCUUGCUGGUGCAAGGAUAGUGGCGGACGGGUGAGUAACGCGUGAACAUCUACCCAUUGGAGGGGGACAACCCGUCGAAAGGCGGGCUAAUACCGCGUAAGCCGCGAGGUGAGAGGCUGCCUAUUGGUGGCCGCCGAUGGAUGGGUUCGCGUCCUAUCAGCUGGUUGGUGGGGUAACGGCCUACCAAGGCGAAGACGGGUAGCCGGUCUGAGAGGAUGGCCGGCCACACUGGAACUGAGACACGGUCCAGACUCCUACGGGAGGCAGCAGUGGGGAAUAUUGGGCAAUGGGGGAGACCCUGACCCAGCGACGCCGCGUGAGGGACGAAGGUUUUCGGAUCGUAAACCUCUGUUGUACGGGAAGAAGGAAUUGACGGUACCGUACGAGUAAGCCCCGGCAAACUACGUG
rnacentral:rRNA from 1 species